GGAAUGUGGCUCAGUGGUAGAGUGCUUGCCUGGCAUGCAUGAGGCCCUGGGUUUGAUCCCUAGCACCA
rnacentral:tRNA from 1 species